rnacentral:snRNA from 1 species
AGCUUUGCACAGAGGCGGUACCAUGGCCAAUGAGGUAAAUCCGAGGCGUGGUUAUUGCUAGCUGAAAACUAUUAUUAUUAUUAUUAUUAUUAUUAUUAUUAUUAUUAUUAUCAGCAGCAGCAG